rnacentral:rRNA from 1 species
UCUGGUUGAUCCUGCCAGAAGUUAUAUGCUUGUUUCAAGGAUUAAGCCAUGCAUGUCUAAGAAUAAAGUAAUCUAAGCUGAAUCUGCGUACGGCUCAUUAAACCAGCAAUGAUCUACCCUGGAAAGUGAGGCUUCGGCCUUGCCAUUCGGAUAUCCACUCGAAACGGGUGGUUAAUACGUGGAAGAAAAGAGCCGCCUCCAUCCAACCAGUGCUAGGGGAAACCCGAGCUGGGGAGGCGGUUUGGUGUGGACCGAAACAAAAACCGACGCCCGCAAGGGCAGUUUCAUUACAUCGGUGAAUCAGGUCCACUUAUUACCUAAAGCGCAGUUCACUGCGCGUUCCAGGACGAACUUCUGCCCUAUCAGCUAUGAUGGUUGUGUAGUGGACAACCAUGGCGGUCACGGGUAACGGAGAAUCAGGGUUCGAUUCCGGAGAGUGAGCCUGAGAGACGGCUAACACAACUAAGGUUGGCAGCAGGCGCGCAAAUUACCCAAUGUCAACACUGACGAGGUAGCGACGAAAAAUAGGAUUUCCGCUGGUCUUCGACCAGUGGAGAUUCCAAUGAAUGGUACUUAAACCCACCACUGAGUAACGAUUGGAGGGCAAGUCUGGUGCCAGCAGCCGCGGUAAUUCCAGCUCCAAGAGCGUAUGCUAAUGCUGUUGCUGUUAAAAAGCUCGUAGUUGGAUUCUGAGUUGAAGGUUGCACUCCUUCACUGGUGGUGGAAGCAACAUUACGGGACCACAAGUUCCCAUAAAGAGGCGUCCGCGAUUGUUACUGUGAACAAAACAGCGUGUUCAAAGCAUCCGUUUGGCUGAAUGAUCUAGCAUGGAAUAACAAGGGAUCGACCCUUUUGGUCUUCUUUUUGUCGGUUUUGAUUUCCCCAAGGGGCAAUCAAGGGCGGAGUAACCAUCUGGCCUCUUGUUGCGCUGGCUUCGGCCACGUGCUCAGGAACCAAAUGGUCUCCGUUCCGUCGGUAUUAAUAGGAGCAAGCGGGGUGGUACGUAUUGCUGCGUUAGUGGUGAAAUACUUAGACCGCAGCAGGACGAACAACAGCGAAGGCAUUCUGCAAGUUUGCUUUCAUUAAUCAAGAACGAGAGUGU